UCGAUGGUAUGUACUCAGAGGUGAUGAUCUAAAUACAUAUAUUAUGUAAGCAAUGUUGUUUAUGUCAUCUGAUAUGUUAGCGACUCAAUGCCUCCUUCUAUGCUUUCUGUCUAUCGUGGAUAUGCUUGUUCCUAGUCUAGUUCUAGAUUAAACUAUCUAGCAUGCUUGGUGUAAUCAUGGUGAUUAGAUCUAGUAUGUCGAUCCUUCAUGAUAGCUAGACAUGGUUCACCUAUUUUCGUGCCCUUAAACUACCUGCACUGAUAGGAGGGAUUGUGAUGGGGUUUGCUUCUGUGUAAGGUGGGGGUUUUUUGGAGGUUGGCCGGAGGUAGUAGUUUAAAGAUUGCUUUGGAUGAGAUGCAUGAUAUGCUCGCUUGUUAGCUAGAUCCACAACUAGAAGAUGAUAGGCUCUUGUUACGCUUGGUUAUGCUAUUUGAUAUGUAUCUGUAGAUGUG
rnacentral:lncRNA from 1 species